UCAUAUAACUGUAUCAUGUGGAUUGCUACAGGUUUGACUAAAGUGUCUCGUAGUUUAUUUAGCUUACAGAAAAUACCACAACCAUGUAAACCAUGUACUGUGGAUGAUUAUGAUGAUCAUUCAGUCCCAUGGUACAUAUCAGAGUAGGAUUAUAUUGCCAUCUGAUGUCAUCAAUCUACUUUGUUGGCGCAACGGUACAUUUCAGCACAUUGAAACAAACCUGACUCUAUCUCUCACACAUACCCACACAUGGGUCAACCAGUCCUUUAGCAUUCAGUGUAACAUUAGGAAUCUCAAGGUGACACUGAUGUCAUCAGCAUUAACUGGAGAGCAAGCUGCAAGAGAGAUAAGCAAACCCAGCCAGAAUUCAAUGCAUCUGCUUUAUUCUCGGAAGUGUGUUUGUAUUUGUCUGUGUGUGUUUUUGCACGUAUCCGUGACAACUGUUCCCAGAAGUGGGUUCAUGUGCACACGCCUUGUCUUUCUCUCAGACACACACUGCAUGAAAAGAGCUGUAUACGGACAAAUACGGAAUGGGAAAUCCCUGCUAAACUUUAGGUUUGCCAGAUUUUUGAGGCAGAGUGCUUGGAAAGGUAAUACACCAAAGUAAACCCGUGAAACAUCCAGAAACCUUACGUUUGUGGAUGUAUGUAGGAACUGGUGGAAGUUUCCAGGAAUCCUUACAGCUGGUUGUGAGGAGCGGUGGGUGUGAGGUGUGAACGGCUUUUUAUAUGUUAAUGACCCACAGGUAGAGGUGUCUUCUUUGUUUUCAGAGCUGAGUGGGGUGGGGUGGGGGGUUAACCAUGUCUCUUUAAGACAGCACAUACAGUAUUGUGGUACAUAAAAACUGUGUUUUCUAAAUAUGUUUAUUAUUAAUAUAAUUUAAUUAGUCUAUUUAAGAAACUAAGCAUCAUUCAAAAUAACUAAAAUUCAAUGGACACAAUUACCAUUUUAAUGUGUGAAAAUUAUGUCUCUGACUCAAGAGAAAUGCAACAAAUAUUAUUUCAGAAUAUAUAUUUCCAACACUUUGAAAACAUGUCUCCAACUGCCCUAGGUCAGAAUAUUGUGAACGUAUCUCUCAAUGCUGCAUACAUCGUUUAAAGGAAGCCGUUCAAAUGACAUCAUGUAACUCAUUUUUGCUAGCUAGGAUGUUGAUAAAUUAGUCAGUGAAAUGUAAAGCUGCUUAUUUUUGCUGAUGUCUCAUGAUUUGAAGUUCACUGUUUCUAUUGUUAUUAUAAUUCUACCCUAACAUUUCAUUAAAUCUUUUAAAAUAGAAACAAAAAUAUCAAUAGACAGGUCCAUAAUCUAAAAGACAGUCUUUCACAUGUGGAUGCAAAACAUGUUGGGUGAAACAGACUGACAAACUCGGGUAAACAUAUCUGCAGAUACCUGUCAGCUACUGUACUUCUAGUCCAGAGGUGCCCAAAGUUGGCCCACAAAAGACCUUACAUUUUUUUUUAUGUUUCAUGCAUACUUGAAGGUGUAUAAAAUGCAUCACAAAACCUAAUGAACUCGGGUACUAUAGGCUAAAAAUGAAGAGGUUGCGGCAGUGGCACACAGAGAAAAGGAUAUUUAAAAUUGAUUGGCAAAACGAUUUCUUUUUCCUACAAACAGCCUUGGAAAAUAAAACUGCAUUAGUUAUGCAUAAACAGAGUAAUGUUUGCUUAUUUAUUUUUUAAAAUAUUAGAAAAUUAUAAAUUAGGGGUUAUCAGGGCAACUUUAAUUUUAAUAUAACACAAGAACAUUUACUUUUGGCCCACGGCCCUCAGUCAGGUUUGGCCCUUGUAAGGAAAAUGUUCGGGCACCAAUGAAUGUUCUAGUCUAUCUGAGGAGGUAACUUUUAGCAUAUGAUAAUGCAUGCUUGCACAAAGUCAGACCACAUAUUAUAAUGUUUGUCUUCAAUCAAUCAAUUUAAACAAAAGAGAUGGGGACUUUAUAAUAUAAUAAGGGUCCAUAUAUCACAGUGAAAAAAGACAUACAUGUAUUUUUACUUUAACAUGAACUAAUGCUGAGUUACAGCAUAUCCUAAUAAUAAACUAUUGAAGAGUCAUCAUUAACUACGACAUGUUUUUCAUUGUUAGUUAAUGCAGUCAUUUACAAUAAAUUAAUUUGAGUUCAUGUUGUAGUUAAGUAAGUUCAGUAAGUUACAUGUCUUAACUCAGCAUUAGUUUAUAUUUACUAAUAUUUAAGUAAGAAUUCAUUUAGGUAUACGUUCAAUGUUUCCAAUGAUGAGCAGUUAAUCCACUAAACCCAGAGAUAAUUCCUGAGGCAUAUUAAAGAGUUUUGUAUUUCAUCAAGAAGGUGCUGCUGAUUCACAAAGAUUUUAUAUUUAAGAAAAUCUGAGCAUCAUUCCAAAUAACUGUUAACAUGUUUGUCAACUAAACAUGUUUUGUAAACGUAAUAAACUUUAUAAAAAUAUUUUUUAUUUUUUAUUAAUAAUCAAGUAUAAAGAACAAUGCAUAGUGUGAAAACGCGGAUUAUAAAAAGUAUAUUAAAGAAAAGGACUACAUUUCCCAGAAUGCACCUGCACCUACUCAUCUGCCCCCACCCUUCAGGUGCGACUGCUCAACCUAUGGGCUUGACGGGAAAAUUCAAAAUCGCGAACCGUUACUGCCUGGACUACUCCGUCUCUUGUUUGUUUGUUUGCUCAUUAACAGUAAGAGGUCAUGUACACUGUGGUCAACUUUGUGGACGAUGAAGAGGUUUCUGGGUAAAGCUGAUAGAAAUAUAAUGAAGUAACAGUGAAAGCUAAAACAUCAGACUGAUCCAGACACUGAAGAAAUUGAUGUCACUGCAAUCUGGCCAAAAUGAUACAACUAUAUUGAAGUAACCUACUGUAAUGAAGCUGCAGAACAACACAGAGACUCUGAGGACAUCAACACAGAAAAUUAAGGCUCCAAAGAGAUGUCUGUCCAGAUGAGGGUGCAUCAACGUUACCUUUGCUGACAAGUAUAUGCUUUACAAUGUAAAACCUAACAGUUAACUUAACUCAAACCAUUUAAGGAAAUCGGUUGCCUUAACCCAUUAAGUUUAAAAAAAAAACAUACAUUUGAGUACUGUGAACUUAAGUCUUGUGCAAUAAUGCACUUAUAUUUAGUUAGUGUGAACUUAAAUAUAAGUGCAUAACUGCAUGUGACUCAAUUUGUUUAAGAUCACAGUACUCAAAUCUAUGUGUUUUAAAACUUAAAUGGUUUAAUGCAACCGGUUUUCUUAAAUGGUUUGAGUUUAGUUAACUUUUAGGUUUUACAGUGAGAAAUUCUUGAAUAAUUCCAAGACAGAGCUCUGCAAUUGUAUCUAUCUGCAAUUGGAUUUUUAUCUUGUUUUUAGUAGAAAAACUAAAAAUUCUUAAAUCAAGAUGUAUUUUCUUGAUGAGCAAAAUUACCUAAGAAAAUGUCUAGUUUUUAGACAAAAAUAUACAAUUUAAGUAAAUUUGUGCCUAAACAAGCAAAAAUAUCUAACAAUGGGGUGAGAAAAUUGUGCUUGAAUUAAGUUUUUAAGAAAAAAGAAAACUUAAGAUUUUUUCUCACACCAUUGGCAGAUAUUUUUGCUUGUUUUAAGCACAAAUUCACUUAAAUUGUGUGCAUUUAUUUAUUUUGUCUAAAACUAGACUUAUUUUCUUAGUUCAUUUUGUUCAUCAAGAAAAAGCAUUUUAUUUAAAUAAUAUUUCUACUGAAAACGAGACAAAAAUACUAUGUAAGAAAGUCAUUAUUUUGCAGUGUAGGACUGAUUUCUUGAACAACAACUAUAUUGAUCUUGCUUUAUUUUAUUUAAAUAUUUACUACAUUACAGUGGCAGGUGGUGACUUCUUUUUUUGUGAGCACUCGAUGCAAAGUUUGUCACAACAUGUAUAUAGCCAGUCAUUUGUGUGGUUCAAAAUAUGUGUUCUGCGUGUAUGUGCAUCACGUGUUUUGACUAAACCCGUGAUGCACAUGGUUUACAUGAAGCAACAAACACAUUUUAAAAACACAAGCAACACACAUGACACUCCGAACACUUAUUUUGAAUUUGCACCCCUCGGAUGCGCAGUCACGAGCCGCCACUGCUACAUUACAUUGUACUGUUUUGAAUGUAAUUUUUAUUGUUGCUUUUAUUUUGUUUUAUUUUACUCUAAUAUUGCUUUCUCUGUCUGUAUAUUUAUGAGUUUAAAUAGUAUUGUUUAUGUAUGCAACUUUUAAUAUUUGUGUAUAAUAUUAUU